UUCAUUCUUCACAGGCUCAUCUACGGGCCUGAAAUGUUGUCCCACAAUCGGGAUGAAACUACGUCUCAACAAGUUCUACCCCACUAAGACUCAAUUAAGAAACGAAUACGCUAAUCGAGCUGCCUAUACAAGCACGGGUCAGAAGACUUACCUUGGCCUCAGAUUCCGCUUGCAUAUUAGCACAAUUCAAUAGGCACCCAAGAAAUCACAUCACAGAUCGAUAUAUCGAUCAAUCGACCUAGUCGAUUUCAUGUCAAUCGGACCAUUCAUCGGUCAUUUCAAUUCAAUCAAUCAAUUCACGACAUCAUAUCAAAACAAUGAUCAAUCGACCUAGUCAAUUACAUGUCAUCACGACCCACGCUUGGUCGGCACAUUCAAUACUAUCUAUAAGUCCGAUUAUAGUCUAGGACUGCUCACUCUAAGCUGAUAAAUAGAUAGUAUAGCUCGCACUAAGCUAAUAGGGUUAAGGUAUACUGCUCUUGCUAAGCUGACAUAUCGCCCGUGGGUUGAUAUAGUAUACCGAUAUACCGCUCUCGCUAAGCUGACGUAUCAGAGCCCGUAGGAUGAUAUAGUAUACUAUUCUGAUCAUUAAAUCAAUUCCCUCUUUUAUCAUUCUCGAUAAAAUAGCCGUGUGUGGAGACACGGUUGACCUUAGCCAAAAUAUAAUAUUUUCAUUUCCAUAACUCCCACAUUUUCUGUAGUCUACUCAAAUCUCUUUGGCAUUAUUAACCAAUGCCCGGUUAUUUUUCAAUUAAUAACCAAUGAUUAUCCAAUUAAAGAAUAAUUCCCACUUUCACAUAUAAUUCAAUUCAGCAUGAAAUAAAGCUCAAUUAAAUAAAUGGUUUGUGCCACAAUAAUCAGCAUAAAAUUUCAGUCGUCAGCUAUCAUUGCCUAAUUUCUAAAAAAUAAAUAAUUAAAUAAUUAAUUUAGAAAAUUAAUAAAUAAAUAUUAAAAAUCCAAUUUAGGCCCGUAAUGCCUAAUUGAAGCCCGAUAAGGGUCAGAAAAAAUCCCGAGAUGCAUUCAAUAAAUAGUAUAUGCAGUUCUCUAGCUAAGUACACUAAUCGCCUAACUAAUAUGUAAUGCAAUUAACUAAUAAUCACUAAUUCAUUCUAAUCUAACCACCUAAUUGCACUUAAUUAAAUCUAAUCAACCCUUUAAGCAUCAUUAGUCUACUAAGCAAGCAUUAGUGAGAUUACUCACUUGGCAAAGCGAAGAAUGGAACACCGCGACAGCGACGCGACGGCGGCCGAAAUCGGGCUUUCGAUGACACCAGCGGGUUUGGACUAGGCCUUAAACUUGGGCCCAACAAAUCUCAGCUCAACUGAGAUUUGUUUUUGCGCUGGACUGGGCUCACUCUUGGGCUUGGGCUUAGCUGCAAAUGGGCCUUCUUCGCGGGCUGAACUUCAAAUGGGCUUGCUGCAAGUUGGGCCGAACUGUUCAAUUGAUGGGCUAACUGCUGUAACUGAAAUUACGGGCUGAAGACACUAGAUGGGCCGCUGGGCUUGCAGCUUCAACUGGACUGAACAAGGAAGCAACAAAGUUGCUGUUGGGCCGAGCUUUGUCGGGCUGUUUUCGGUGGAUACGGACGAGCGGGCGACAGCUUCAGUUGACUGAGGAGAUGCGUGGACCAGCGAGCUAGCGAAGGAAGCAGCAGCUUUGUGCAUUGCUGAGGGCUGCUUCAAUGGAACGCCGCUGAUGGGCCGAACGUGCGAAGAUGAGGGUCAACGGUGGGGCUUCUUUGGUGAGUGGUUGACCGAGCAAAACCACUCCACGUGCAACUGAAGAAGACGAGCAGCUUCGGUGGGUUGAAGAAGCUGAUGAAGAUAUGCGGGCAAAUGAUGGCAGAAGCGGCAGCUCGGUGGAUUGGGCUUUGACCUUCUUCGCACAGCCAACGAUGGAAGUGGACUUGCGUGAAGAUGGGCUCGAUUGACUGGAUUUGUGGGGAUGGCGGUGAGAGAAGACUCGCACACGGUAGAGGGAUGGAGCUGCUUCGGGCUUUGCUCGAUUGAAGACACAUGCAUGGAGGAGCUUCGCUCGGUGGAUUGCUGGGUCAACAAACUGCCUAGGAAAUUUGCAACGUUGACUGGUGGGCGUUUGAUGUUGGACGAGUAGCAAAGGAGAGGAACUUCGGUGGAGGCGUGUGGGUGUUUGGAGCGAAGGAAAUGAAUAGAGAAAAAAAUGGAGGAACGGUCCAGCAGGAGGAAAAGAAAUGAUGAGGAUCGAAGGGGUUGGCCUCGUGCGUUGAAGGAGAUGGAGGGGAAGCCAUGCGGAAGAAGCCAAUGAAAAGGAGAGGAACCCAAAAAUCAUUAAACCUUAGCCAUUCCCUUCAAUUCUUGGUUCCCCCAAAGCCUACACACAAAUAUCUAAUGUUCCCAAAUACUUUCUCAACAUUUAGUCCCACCAAUAAUCCAAAUUGAAGCCAUAAAUGCAACUCUCUUUCAUUGCUCCGAAUUUCACUAAUUUGGGCCUUAAUUUUCUCACCAAAUUCCCAAAUUUGGUGUCCAAUUUCGUCACAGAAAAAGCCCAUACCAUUUCUGCAAGUCCCCAUCGCCAAAUAGCUCGGUUUGACAAUCAAAAACCUCUUCAAUGCGGCCAAUCCAAAUUUCCGUUAAUUUUCCGCAACGUUCGAAACGGUUGUCCAUAAAAAUCUCAUAAUCUCCGAAAAUUCUUCGGAGGGUGAAUCGACAUUCCUAAAAUAGCUCGUGACAUGACAGAACUUUCAAUUUCUAAAAUCAGACUCGAAUUCACGGUUAAUUUCCAUUCGACACGUUUUUAGCAUGACCUAGGCUAUCGGGUAAUAUUCAUAAUUUUUUUUAAGCAAAUAACCUGUGGUCAAUUUUCUUCGAGCCACAAUGAACUCACUCGACACAUUGGCGACUCUCGAUUGUUGUGAAAAUCUUGAGGGUUCAAAUAUGGAAAUAGGGUACAAAAGUGAUAGAAAAAUCAAAUUAGUGCCGGUCGAUGAGAAUUUUUCAAUUUAUUGGUGUCACUCACGAUUAGCCACACAUCUCAGUCGAACCGACCUAUCUCUGAUCUCUAAUCGAUUUAUAUCUGUGCCGUAAUGAUCUCGGUAGAUGAGCACGGUCGAACAGCCGAUUCCUGAUCGAAUUCUCAAGUCUAUUUGCCUUAAAAUUCUUAAUGGCUUUCCCAAAUAGUCUAGUUUUUUUCUAGAAUGAUCAAUUCUGAAAACAGCCCUAUAGACGCGUCAAUGAAAUGCCCAAUUUAUUCAAUAGAAAACAUGACUGAAAAUUUGGGAUGUCAUAACUCUUCCCCUCUUAUAAAAAUUUCGUCUUCGAAAUUUAAACCUUUACCAAUCCUUAAACAAAAAGGUAAGGGUAUCAUCGUCUCAUCUAGUCUCACUUUCCUCAGUUGCUUCUUCAGUCCCGUGGCAUUGUUAGACCACUUUGACCAAAGGGACCUUCUUGAUACACAGAAUCUGAUCUUUCUUAUCCACAAGCUGAACCGAACUUUUCAUGUAUGACACUCUGUCGUCCACACCUAAUUUUUCAAGAUUUAGCACAUGGGUCGUGUCAGGCUCAUGUGUCCUCAACACCGACACGUGAAAGACGUCAUGCACUUGCGCUAACCUCGGCGGCAAUGCAAGACGAUACGAUAGGAUCCCAAUUCCUUUCACAAUCUCAAAGGGACCUACGUACUUCGAUUUCAAUUUUCCCUCCUUGCUAAAAUGCAAGGUAUCCCUCAUUGGUGACACCUUCAGAAAGGUGUACUCACCAAUUUAGAACUUUUGGGGCCUUCAAUGCUCAACAAUAUAAUUAUUCUAGCAGUUGUGAGCGGUCCGUACUCUGGCACUGAUCAUGGUAAUUGCAACUAUUGACUGCUGAACUGACUCUGGGCCUGUGAUCUUUCUUUCUCUAAUCUCAUCUCAACAAACUAAAGUUCUGCACACACUACUCUGUCCUGCCUCAAAAGGAACUAUUUGACUGUUCUAUUGAAACUGGGAACCUCGGUUUUAGAUCUGAUAUAAGUUCAUCACUGGUACCCACGCAGACAAACUAUUUGACACACAUACACUUCUGCAAGUCUAUUCUAAUCAAGAUCCUUCCAUACGGCGAUAAAGUAAGUCGACUUCAUCAGUCUAUCGACCACUACCCUAACUUGAGUCAUUAUUCCUCUGACUCCUUAGUAAACCCAUCCCAACCUUCCAUCAUGAUAUACUUCCAUUCCCACUCGGGACUCUCGAGUGAUUAUAAAAUUCUUCCCGGUUUGCUUUAAUGAACUCCCACUCACUAGCACAUCUGACACUUACAACCUGCGGCGAUGUCUAUCUUCAUAUCGGUCUACCAAUCGAGCCGACGUUGAUUCUGACCUACCUCGCAUUAUAUGGUCAAAUACUGCAAUACCACAGUGAAUUUCCUAACAAGGUCUUCUCCUCAAGUUCCAUACUAUCUGACACCUAUCAUCACCCACGAUACUUCGACGUUCCAUCUUUCGAAAUCUGAAAGUCAACUUUUCCCUCACCGAUAUCUUCUUAUAGGAUUUUCUGAACAUCUCAGUCUGUCAACUGAAGCAUAUGAUUCUAACUUGAAUAUCCGAUUCAAUUUUGAGGGCGGCUAUAGAAUUCAAAAGGUAGCCCACCUCAAAUUUGAAAACCAAAUUUCGAACUUUUUCAAGUAAGUUUCAUACUUUAACCCGUAUAUGCACCAUUAAAGACUCUUGACUCAACGCAUCAGUGACUUCUUUCUUUCCCCCAGGGUGAUACCAGGUAGCACCAUUCUAGUCCUGCCAAUCUUCUGACUCACGACACCAUCUCAUAUUGAAGUCAUUAGGUCUCAACUGGCGGGACGCAUAUGAAAUGAUCUCAUCAUGUCGCAUCAGUACACACCCAGUCCUCCGCACAAUACCUCACUAUAGAUCUCGCUUAACUGAUAACUGUUUCAAUCUUCAUCGAGUCCACGGAUAUUCUUUCACCAUUCUCAGAUGUCUGUUGUGCUCCUCAGCAUUCCUCGAAUGCACCAGAAUGUCAUUAAAAGACAUGAGCACAACUGAUCUAAAUAUUCCUUGCACACUCAGUUUGCCAAAUCCAUGACAGUAGCUGGAGUGUUUACCAAGCCAAACGAUCUUACAAUACUCUCGUAAAGAUCAUAUCAAGUACAAAAAACUUUCUUUAGUAUAACCUCCUUCUUGGUUCGUGACUGACGACAUCUUGUUCUUAAGUUGAUCCUUGAAAACAUCGACACUCUUGAUGUCUGGUCACCCAAUUCGUCAAUCUUUUACAAUGGACGCUUGUCCUUGAUCGUCACCUAAUUGAGUUGACGAUGGUCGAUGCAUACUCGCAACAAACCAUCUUUCUUUUUCUCAUAAACAAAACUGAUGUUUCCCCAAAGUGAUGCACUGAUAAGCAUAAAUUCCUCAUUCAUCAAUCUUCACAUCUGCAUCUUCAAUUCCACCAAUUCAGACAACAACAGCUGGUAAGAAGCCUUCAAGAGUGGCUCUAUCCUGGUGCUAGCUCGAUUGCACUUUCUAUCUCUUUCUCUGACGACGGUCUAACAGUUCUUGUGACAACACAUCUAGAAAUUCUUAGACCACUGAGAAGUCCUCCAUCUCUAGUUCUCCAAUCUAUCCUACCCAAGACAAUCGCCAAGCAAUCUUAGCAACCUCCAUCUAACAAACAAGUUGCCUCCAGCCAACAAGAUUAAUGAAAUCGAGAAUUCUCUCGACUCCCAAUAGCCUUGACACUUUCACAAGAUGCUCCAUGAACCCACACUAUUCACGUGGCGUCAAACUCACACCUUAGCAACUAGUCAAGCACAACUAUUGCUAGUGAUUUCCCCUCUCUUUCACUUUUACUUCAACAAUUUAAGUUCUACCAACUCAGCACAAAACUCUGCUGCGCUGCUCUGAUAAAAUCACCUCUAACACAUUCUUUCUCUAAUCGGUGCAAGGUCAAUUCUACUCACAUUCCUUUCGCCAUCCUAGUGGCGUUCUAGCCAUAGUAGCGAUGUCUAUGCUACCUUAGACUUCCACUGACAAUCCUUCACCUGAUGGUCAUGUUGCUCAUCAUCACAACAUGUUCUAGUCAUACUCGGACACUAGAUUUAUCCAUUCUUCCUUCUACAAUUCCGACACCUAUCUGGUGCGUCUUCUAUCUCCUAUCAGGUGAAAGCAUGCACUAUUUCUGGUACUAGAUACCUAUUCCAAAACUCCACUAUGCGUUCUAUGGCGCAUUUCCUCUAAUCUGUCUCAUCGGCCUUCUAGGGCUAUCUUCGGUUAGGUAACUCUGUUGGCUAUAAUUGAAACAAAUUCUUGUCCUAAGAAAACAUAAGGCUGAUGUUUGCCAUCACGCACAAGAACAACAUGUCCCAUUUUGACUUAGUGCUGACCUAACUGUCACACCCUUCUUAUUGGGUGGAAUAGAAUACUCUUCUCUCCACAUCGGUCUUUUCCUUGACCGAUUUCCAUCUCUGCUUGAACUGGAGCUGUACCUUGACUCGGAUGCAACGGCGCUCCCAGAUCAUAUCUCCACACUGGACCUCAGUAGGUGCGGCAACAACGGCGGCUCGAUCCUGAGCUUGUUGACUUAACCAAUUCUAAGGACACUAGCGCCUGAACGAUCCCGUCGAACCUAGGAUCGCUCGAUGCUACUACACAAGUACCAACCUGCGAUGGUACUCUUACACUCGAGCUGGCCAGAACCGACACUCUGCCACAACCACCUCAGGUACUGACCUUUGUCAGUGCUUUAUCCCGAGUGACAGAGGACAUUGUCCUCUUACUAGGAGUUCUCAGCUCCUGCUCGCUCAUGGUUCAGUCUUUACACUAAAACCCGUCUUCCAAAUCCACACUGGAUUAGAAGGUGAGCGAUCCACACACAACAAACAAUUCUAGCAUUCAGCUAACACAAACAUGCACCAGCAUGAAUUUAAAGGUCUUUCUUACUACUAUCCCAAGACUCAUCGCUCCUUAUCACUCUAAGAUUUAACUUCGCUCUAAUACCACAAAAAGGGGAUGUCAUGCCUCGAUCAUCGGGCACGCACACAUCCUUCUACUUGGUCAAUUUUAUAAUGCGAUAUCCUAGGACUAAGUAUUGCCGACCCUUUUCAUUUAUUAAGCACAUGCGGAAGUAGUUAUAAAUCCCCAGACAAUAACACAAUGGGAUAGAAAAGCAAUGUCAUAUUUUUCAGAUUGAAAUCCAUAACCAAACAUUUAUACAUGGCAUAACUCAAACUCUAUUCACAAGACUAUUCAUAACAUUCUAGUUUCACACUAUUCACAUUUAGAUAAGAUUCACGAAAGAGGAUGGGAUCUCAGUCCUCAUCCAGGUCGUACUUAGGAUCAUCCUGAUCCUCUUCUGACUCUUCUUCACUAAGCUCACAUCCUUCAAGCUCUUCAUCUUUUACUGAUCAUCCUGAUCCUCUUCUGACUCUUCUUCACUAAGCUCACAUCCUUCAAGCUCUUCAUCUUUUACUGGCUCAUCGUCCUCUUCUGGUUCCUUCUUCACAGGCUUAUCUAUGGGCCUGAAAUGUUGUCCCACAGCCGGGAUGAGACUACGUCUUAGCAAGUUCUACCCCACUAAGACUCAGUUAGGAAACCAAUACGCUAACCGGGCUACCUAUACAAGCACGGGUCGGAGCACUUACCUUGGCCUCAGAUUCCACCUGCAUAUUAGCACAAUUCAAUAGGCACCCAAGCAAUCACAUCACGGAUCGAUAUCUCGAUCAAUCGACCUAGUCGAUUUCAUGUCAAUCGGACCAUUCAUCGGUCAUUUCAAUUCAAUCAAUCAAUUAACGACAUCAUAUCAAAGCAAUGAUCAAUCGACCUAGUCGAUUACAUGUCAUCUCGACCCAUGCUUGGUCGGCACAUUCAAUACUAUCUAUAAGUCCGAUCAUAGUCUAGGACUGCUCAUUCUAAGCUGAUAAAUAUAUAGUAUAGCUCGCAUUAAGUUGAUAGGGUUAAGGUAUACUGUUCUCGCUAAGCUGACAUAUCGCCCAUAGGCUAAUAUAGUAUACCAGUAUGCUACUCUCGCUAAGCCGACAUAUCGCCCGCAGGCUGAUAUAGAAUACCCUCGAUACUCACUCUAAACUGAUAAAGUGUACUACUCACGCUAAGCUGAUAUAUCGCUCGUGGGUUGAUAUAGUACACUAGUAUAUUGCUCUCACUAAGCUGACAUAUCAGAGCCCGUAGGAUGAUAUAGUAUACUAUUCUGAUCAUUCAAUCAAUUCCCUCUUUUAUCAUUCUCGAUAAAAUAGCCGUGUGUGGGGACACGAUUGACCUUAGCUAAAAUAUAAUAUUUUCAUUUCCAUAACUCCCACAUUUUCUGUAGUCUACUCAAAUCUCUUUGGCAUUAUUAACCGAUGCUCGGUUAUUUUUCAAUUAAUAACCAAUGAUUAUCCAAUUAAAGAAUAAUUCUCACUUUCACAAAUAAUUCGAUUCAGCAUGAAAUAAAGCUCAAUUAAAUAAACGGACUGCGCCACGAUAAUCAGCAUAAAACUUUGGUCGUCGACUACCCUUACCUAAUUUCUAAAAAAUAAAUAAUUAAAUAAUUAAUUUAGAAAAUUAAUAAAUAAAUAUUAAAAAUCCAUUUUAGGCCCGUAAUGCCUAAUUGAAGCCCGAUAAGGGUCAGGAAAAAUCCUGAGAUUAGUGAGAUUACUCACUUGGCAAAGCGAAGACCAGAACACCGUGACGGCGACGCGACGGCGGCCGAAAUCGAGCUUUCAACGACACCAGCGGGCUUGGACCGAGCCUUAAACUUGGGCCCAACAAAUCUCAGCUCAACUGAGAUUUGUUCUUGCGCUGGACUGGGCUCACUCUUGGGCUUGGGCUUGGCUGCGAAUGGGCCUUCUU
rnacentral:lncRNA from 1 species